AUUGAGUCCUUUUAAGAUGACGAGUUAAUUCCAAGGAAAAGGCAAUUUCACCAAAACGAACAGCUUUGCAAAGUAUUGGAUACAAUUGCCAGGAGACAAGUGACAUGAAAUCCAGCUCACUA